rnacentral:rRNA from 1 species
GUGGGGAAUAUUGCACAAUGGGGGGAACCCUGAUGCAGCGACGCCGCGUGAGCGAAGAAGUAUUUCGGUAUGUAAAGCUCUAUCAGCAGGGAAGAAGAAUGACGGUACCUGACUAAGAAGCACCGGCUAAAUACGUGCCAGCAGCCGCGGUAAUACGUAUGGUGCAAGCGUUAUCCGGAUUUACUGGGCGUAAAGGGAGCGCAGGCGGCACGCCAAGUCUGAUGUGAAACCCCGGGGCUCAACCCCGGGCUUGCAUUGGAAACUGGCGGGCUGGAGUGCCGGAGAGGUAAGCGGAAUUCCUAGUGUAGCGGUGAAAUGCGUAGAUAUUAGGAGGAACACCAGUGGCGAAGGCGGCUUACUGGACGGCAACUGACGCUGAGGCUCGAAAGCGUGGGGAGCAAACAGG